rnacentral:tRNA from 1 species
UGGGAUGUAGCUUAGUGGUAGAGUGCUUGCCUAGCAUGCUUGAGGCACUGGGUUCGAUCCUCAGCACCACAU